GGCGAACGCUGGCGGCGUGCCUAAUACAUGCAAGUAGAACGCACAGUUUAUACCGUAGCUUGCUACACCAUAGACUGUGAGUUGCGAACGGGUGAGUAACGCGUAGGUAACCUGCCUGGUAGCGGGGGAUAACUAUUGGAAACGAUAGCUAAUACCGCAUAAUAUUAAUUAUUGCAUGAUAAUUAAUUGAAAGGUGCAAUUGCACCACUACCAGAUGGACCUGCGUUGUAUUAGCUAGUAGGUGAGGUAACGGCUCACCUAGGCGACGAUACAUAGCCGACCUGGGAGGGUGAUCGGCCACACUGGGACUGGAACAAGGGCCAGGCUUCUACGGGAGGCAGCAGUAGGGGAACUUCGGCAAUUGACGGAAGUCUGACCGAACCAAGCCGCGUGAGUGAAGGAGGUUUUCGGGUCGUAAAGCUCUGUUUUAAGGGAAGAACGGGUGUGAGAGUGGAAAGUUCACGCUGUGACGGUAUCUUACCAGAAAGCGACGGCUAACUACGUG
rnacentral:rRNA from 1 species